rnacentral:rRNA from 1 species
AACGAACGCUGGCGGCAGGCCUAACACAUGCAAGUCGAACGAGUAAGAGCCGUAGCAAUACGGAGUUCUGCUAGUGGCGCACGGGUGAGUAACGCGUGGGAACGUGCCUUGGAGUUCGGGAUAACAGUUGGAAACGACUGCUAAUACCGAAUAUUCCCUCAGGGGAAAGAUUUAUCGCUCCAAGAUCGGCCCGCGUAAGAUUAGGUAGUUGGUGGGGUAAUGGCCUACCAAGCCUACGAUCUUUAGCUGGUCUGAGAGGACGACCAGCCACACUGGAACUGAGACACGGUCCAGACUCCUACGGGAGGCAGCAGUGGGGAAUAUUGGACAAUGGGCGAAAGCCUGAUCCAGCCAUGCCGCGUGAAUGAUGAAGGCCUUAGGGUUGUAAAAAUUCUUUUGUCAGGGGAAGAUAAUGACGGUACCCUGCGAAUAAGCUCCGGCUAACUCGUGCCAGCAGCCGCGGUAAU